AAAUAGAUUAAAAUAAUUAAGGGCACACAAAGGAUGCCUUGGUAGUAAGAGCCGAUGAAGGACGUGGUAAGCUGCGAUAAGCCUAGAUAAGUUGCAAUCGAACGUAAGAGUCUAGGAUUUCCGAAUGGAGCAAUCUAUUAAGAUGGAGUCUUAAUACGAAAGAGGGAACCGCGUGAACUGAAACAUCUAAGUAACGCGAGGAAAAGAAAGUAAAAACGAUACCCGAAGUAGCGGCGAGCGAAACGGGUCAAGCCUAAACCUUAAAUAUGUCAAGGAUACAGCCGUUGUAUUUAAGGGGUUGAGGGACAGAGUGAUGAAGAACUGUAAGAUAUUCAAUAUAGUGUAUUGAUGAACUAGAAUAGUCUGGAAAGGUUAACCGUAGAAGGUGAAAGUCCUGUAUAGGUAAAUCCUUACACAUAUAACUUUGAUCCCAAGUAACAUGGAACACGAGGAAUUCUGUGUGAAUCAGUGAGGACCAUAUCUCAUAAGGCUAAAUACUCUUACUAACCGAUAGCGCAUAGUACCGUGAGGGAAAGGUGAAAAGAACCCCUGGAGGGGAGUGAAAUAGAACCUGAAAUUGUGUGCUUACAAGCGGUCAGAGCCAGUAAUGGUGAUGGCGUGCCUUUUGGAGAAUGAUCCUGCGAGUUACGUUAAACGGCGAGGUUAAGUAUUACGGAGCCGAAGGGAAACCAAGUCUUAAUAGGGCGAUUUAGUCGUUUGGCGUAGACGCGAAACCUGGUGAUCUAAACCUGUCCAGGAUGAAGCUGUGGUAAGACACAGUGGAGGUCCUAACCCACCGCCGUUGAAAAGUUGGGGGAUGAGGUAGGUUUAGGGGUGAAAAGCCAAUCGAACCAGGAGAUAGCUCGUUCUCUCCGAAAUGCAUCUAGGUGCAGCCUUGAGUGUUCAAUUAUGGGGGUAGAGCACUGAAUGAUCUAGGGGGCAUAUUGCUUACUGAAAUCAAUCAAACUCCGAAUACCAUAAUUUAUAGCUCAGGAGUGAGACUAUGGGAGUUAACUUCCAUUGUCAAAAGGGAAACAACCCAGACCACCAGCUAAGGUCCCUAAUUAUAACUAAGUGGGAAAGGAGGUGGAGAUUCACAAACAACUAGGAGGUUGGCUUAGAAGCAGCCAUACCUUUAAAGAGUGCGUAAUAGCUCACUAGUCGAGAGUCUCUGCGCCGACAAUGUAACGGGGCUAAGUUAUAAACCGAAGCUGUGGAAUCCGUAAGGAUUGGUAGGAGAGCGUUCUGUAGGCCGUUGAAGGAGAAGGGUAACCGACUUUGGAGGUAUCAGAAGUGAGAAUGCAGGAAUAAGUAGCGAGAAAGGGGGCGAGAAUCCCCCUCGCCGGAAGACCAAGGUUUUCAGGGUAAAGCUUGUCUUCCCUGAGUAAGCCGGGACCUAAGCCCAGGCUAUAAUGCGUAGGCGAAUGGAAAACAGAUUAAUAUUUCUGUGCCAGUCAUAUAUUGUGAUGGAGGGACGCAGAAGGGUAUGUGCGCGGACGAACGGAAGUGUCCGUAGAAGUAUGUAGGAUGACUUAGUAGGAAAACCCAUUAAGUUAUAUCUGAGGUAUGAUAUAUAGUCGUAAGAUGAAUGCGCAAAUCCCACGCUGCCAAGAAAAGCUUCUAACGUUAAUUUAUGACUGCCCGUACUGCAAACCGACACAGGUGGUCAGGAUGAGAAAUCUAAGGCGGACAGGCUAACUCUCGUUAAGGAACUCUGCAAAAUAACCUCGUAACUUCGGGAGAAGAGGAGCCCUUGGGUGUUAGUAUCCACGCGAUACAAAGCGCUCGAGGGUCGCAGUGAAGAGGCUCAAGCAACUGUUUAACAAAAACACAGGUCUAUGCUAAGCUGGAAGGCGAUGUAUAUGGGCUGACACCUGCCCAGUGCUGGAAGGUUAAGAGGAGGAGUGAGAGCUCCGAAUUGAAGCCCCAGUGAACGGCGGCCGUAACUAUAACGGUCCUAAGGUAGCGAAAUUCCUUGUCGGGUAAGUUCCGACCUGCACGAAUGGUGUAAUGAUUUGAGCGCUGUCUUGACGGGAGGCCUGGUGAAAUUGUAUUACCGGUGAAGAUACCGGUUACCUACAGUAGGACGGAAAGACCCCAUGGAGCUUUACUGUAGCUUGGUAUUGGGUUUUGGCAUUGCAUGUAUAGGAUAGUUGGGAGACUGAGAUGAUAUGGCGCUAGCUGUAUCGGAGUCAUCGGUGGAAUACCAACCAUUCAAUGCUGAAAUUCUAAUCUGUGGUUUGUAGCCACGGAGACAGUGCUAGGUGGGCAGUUUGACUGGGGCGGUCGCCUCCGAAAGAGUAACGGAGGCGUUCAAAGGUUCUCUCAGGUUGGAUGGAAAUCAACCAUAGAGUGCAAUGGCAUAAGAGAGCUUGACUGCAAGACUGACGGGUCGAGCAGAUGCGAAAGCAGGACAUAGUGAUCCGGCGAUUCCGAAUGGAAGGGUCGUCGCUCAACGGAUAAAAGCUACCCUGGGGAUAACAGGCUGAUCCUACCCGAGAGUCCAUAUCGACGGUAGGGUUUGGCACCUCGAUGUCGGCUCAUCGCAUCCUGGGGCUGGAGAAGGUCCCAAGGGUUGGGCUGUUCGCCCAUUAAAGCGGUACGUGAGCUGGGUUCAGAACGUCGUGAGACAGUUCGGUCCCUAUCCACUGUAGGCGUUAGAAUAUUGAGAAGACCUGUCCUUAGUACGAGAGGACCGGGAUGGACAAACCUCUGAUGUACCAGUUGUCACGCCAGUGGCACAGCUGGGUAGUCACGUUUGGAAUAGAUAACCGCUGAAAGCAUCUAAGCGGGAAACUAACUUCAAGAUAAGUAUUCUUUAAGAUACCUUCGAGCCUAGGAGGUUGAUAGGUUGGGGGUGUAAGUACAGCAAUGUAUUUAGCUGACCAAUACUAAUUAUCGAAGUUUUAAUCUAAUUUGUUUUUACUAUAUAGUUUC
rnacentral:rRNA from 1 species